GAAGCCGGUGGAGUAACCAUUUGGAGCUAGCCGUCGAAGGUGGGACAAAUGAUUGGGGUGAAGUCGUAACAAGGUAGCCGUAUCGGAAGGUGCGGCUGGAUCACCUCCUUU
rnacentral:rRNA from 2 species